rnacentral:rRNA from 1 species
CAGCCGCCACGGUAAUACGUAGGGUGCAAGCGUUAAUCGGAAUUACUGGGCGUAAAGCGUGCGCAGGCGGUUAUAUAAGUCAGAUGUGAAAUCCCCGGGCUCAACCUGGGAACUGCAUUUGAGACUGUAUGGCUAGAGUGUGUCAGAGGGGGGUAGAAUUCCACGUGUAGCAGUGAAAUGCGUAGAUAUGUGGAGGAAUACCGAUGGCGAAGGCAGCCCCCUGGGAUAACACUGACGCUCAUGCACGAAAGCGUGGGGAGCAAACAGGAUUAGAUACCCGCGUAGUCCCUGUCUCUUAUAC